UUUAAAAUUUAUUAAGGCUUUAAACUUGCAAGCCUGGCCGUAGAACCGGACUCCUUAUGAUCUAGAUAUACAUUUUUUGUAGUAGCGGUAGUUAACUAAUUAUUACUACAACAUCUUUUUUAAUGGAAUGCUUCUAGUUGAAUUUUAAUUGUGAAAUUCUAUACUACUAGUGAAUCAUACUCUCAGCUGUCCGCCGGUGUUUUUUUUCCAAGAGCAAGAGAAUUAAGUCCAAAACACUUUUGUACAGAGUUAACUCUUCUCUUCGUUUUGAGAGUCGAUUAUCGUAGUUAGGAUUUCAGCUAUCAUUUCUCCGCCUUCCAUCUUCCUUACCAGUUAACCUCUUUCGCUCUCUUAUCCACUCUUCUAUUUUACCAGUCUUUGAGUAAAAUCCAAAUCUAUUUUUUUCUGGAUAAGAUCUUAUUGAAUACCUUAAUAUCAACGUUGUUGUUGGAAGUUUGUCAUUUUGAGCACAAAUUUGAGUGAGGCUCGGCUACGUGCUCGUGGCGGGUUAUGCUUGGAUUAUGUUCUCCUCCGAAAGAGCUUUCCAAUGCAUGUUUAUUCACUCAAAACGACUAAGGAAUGGAUGAGUUGUGAUGAUCCAAAGUUGCUUCCUUGGUAGUGGAAAAUUGGAAAAGAGAGCUAGUAUCCCACAUAGAAAGGAAUAUGGGCCUUCAAUGGCCUUAUAUAGUAGAACACUCUUGUAGUGUUUAACUUGUGUUAGUGUGUUAUGCUCCACCACCUAUGUGCGCGCAGGGGGGUGCAAAUUGUGGGAUUUCGAGGCAAAUCUCGUGGCUUCGCAAGCCUCGGGUUUUUCCGCGUGUGCGACCUGCGGACACGAAUGCAGCAAAAGUCUUGCAUUGCCUAUAUAUAUUCAUUAUAGUUCUCAGCCUUGUUCUGGUUCGUCGAAGGUGCUUCUCGCAUCGUCAAUCCGUUUUAUCCUGGGAGGCGAUCAUUCAUCACAUACGAUCUAUAAAGACUUGCGUGGAUUUUGGAACAAUGGAGGAUACCACAGGAGCUCACCUUUGACAACAAAAAUGUGUUCAUAUUAUGGAGGCAUUUGAUGCUCUAGCAUUAGUUGAUUAGCAUCGAUGGCCGAACAGAGUUUAAUAUGAUUAUCAAUAAAUUGAAGUAUACAAUGCUCGGAGGCAUACAAUACAGAAGUAGACUCAAGCAUGAUUUUGAACCAACUCCAACUGCUUGUGAGUUGGAAGGAAGGACUUGGCCAUAAAAUCCCGUCUUCAAUUAUAUAAACUCCAAAUAUUCCACUCAAAUUUUAGUUCCUAAUUUUAUAUCCUCUUACAAAAUACCUGAUUAGCAUCAAACGCCACUCGAAUUCUCGUCCUACAAAAAAUUGGCUCUGCUCUUAAUACACGCCAAACUUUAGCAUGAAUCGGAUCUCCGAGCCCUGCUAACUAAGUAUAUAACCUGAAAACUUGCUCAACUCAAACUCAUUUUUUAUUAUAAUAAAUAUAAUCUAUACAUUUUUUUAUUAUUUGUAUAUAUUCAAUUUAUUAACUUCUGAGAUUACAGAAAAAAAAAUAGAAACUCAGUCCGACUACUUUUAUUCCCAAAUGUGUGAAAUUAUUGAACUCAAACGAGGUGCUCGAACUUUGAAUAUGAAUAUAGGAAUUUACUCUUUUUUGUUAGAAAGUGUAGAAUACAUUUCCAUUAUUAUGUAUGAUAAACCAACAAAACAACGUCAGUUGCAACUACUUAAUUUCACUGCAUUGUCCUGAAGAUAGAGCAGAAAUGAGAAAUAAGUAUAUCAACAUAUAUUAGCAAUAUACACACACAUGAACAUAUACAUCAAAGGGGAAAAAAAAAAAAACUGGAAUCUCAAGCAGAGAAGAAGCCAGAAACAGCAGCCACAGCAAUUUGAGACUUAGGAUUCAGACCCAACACCUUGUUAUCACUUUGAUAAUCUCCUUGGAAUCUAACUUUAAUCCAAGAAUACCCAUCUUCAAUCUUGCGGAACACCUCAAUCUCUUGGCUUUUCUUCUUCAUCAUCUUCUCGUACUCCUCAGCUAGUAACAUAGCUAUAUCUGCCAUUGAAUAAAAU